GGGAUCUGAUGAACUAUACCAAAUUAAGGAUCUUUCAUCAGUAUUUUCGGAAAUCGGCCGAAAUCCUAGACCUAUGAACAAUUAAAGAUAUCCUACUGUUAGUCAUUAUAUAAUAAUGGUAUUCGCGGUACUUUCUCAAAUGGAUAUGAAAAAGAUUUAUUUGCAAAAGUGAUAUCGUAUGGAGAAGACUAUGCUAGUAAUCACUUUCUUGUAAGUGGGAAAUUUAUAGAAAUUUCAAGGUCAGCAUUAGCUUUUUGAAUUAUACGUGAAUAACAUAAAGUUAAAUAUAUCAUUUUGUUUUAUACGAUCGAUGCAUUUGUUGUGCAUGUACUUACUAUCUUUGAUUAUCGAAAUUAGUGUUCGAUUUUCAUGCAAGUGACCAGCAUGAUAUAAGGAACAACGAGUUGAUUUUCACUUUUAUGAAGUAUAUUUAUAUUUUUUCAAAUAUAUAGUAGAGAAUAUAUAAAUUUA